rnacentral:lncRNA from 1 species
CUUUCCUGCUUCUGCUUUCAUCUGCCUGCCCCCUCGAUGGAGCUGGACCAUGAGGACUUAAUGCCUCUCUGCAUGUUCUCUGUGACACUAUUUGCUGGGCCAUUCUUCUUCAGCAGAGAGAAAGAGUGAGAAGAGAUACAGCUCCCGGGUCUAGGUUCCUGCAAAGUCUUCGUCACAAAUGUUCUAGUGCCGGGCUUCGUGCAAAAGAAAACCAUCUACCGUGUCUCUCCUCCUCUAGAGGGACAUGUACCUAUGGGUGUGUCUGUGGGGUGAGACCAGGGCUGGUAGGAUGGGGUGGGGAGGGUGGGGAGCAAGACAGGCCUUGGGUGGGUUGCAAAUCCAGCCCAGAAAGAGGUUGCAGAGUUUAUCAUCUCUGAGGGAAACCUAUGAGUAAAUCCAUAACUGGUCACACGGCGCCACCAUCCUCGUGUCUGUGCCUAGCACUCCGUUCAUCCCAGCCACAUCCUUAUCCUUCCAACCCGUCCACGCGCUCCUCCCAUCUUAUGGUGGAAGACGGCAGCCUUGAGGCCCAAUCGUCUUCUCGAGAAGCAGAGCUUGGCAGCCAUUUUAAAAAAAGACAACCCUGCUACUAUUAUAAAAAUAUAGAUGAGACAAAAAUGAAUCUGUAACAGGAAUCAGUCUUUUACAAAAAAAAAAAAAAA